AUUGAACGCUGGCGGCAUGCCUUACACAUGCAAGUCGAACGGCAGCAUGGAGAGCUUGCUCUCUGAUGGCGAGUGGCGAACGGGUGAGUAAUGCAUCGGAACGUACCGUGUAAUGGGGGAUAACGUAGCGAAAGUUACGCUAAUACCGCAUACGACCUGAGGGUGAAAGCAGGGGAUCGCAAGACCUUGCGUUAUACGAGCGGCCGAUGUCAGAUUAGCUAGUUGGUGAGGUAAAGGCCCACCAAGGCGACGAUCUGUAGCGGGUCUGAGAGGAUGAUCCGCCACACUGGGACUGAGACACGGCCCAGACUCCUACGGGAGGCAGCAGUGGGGAAUUUUGGACAAUGGGGGCAACCCUGAUCCAGCCAUGCCGCGUGAGUGAAGAAGGCCUUCGGGUUGUAAAGCUCUUUCGGCCGGGAAGAAAUCGCACAGGCUAAUACUCUGUGUGGAUGACGGUACCUGAAGAAUAAGCACCGGCUAACUACGUGCCAGCCGCCGCAGUAA
rnacentral:rRNA from 1 species